GCCUCUGUGGCGGAAUUGGUAGACGCGAUAGACUCAAAAUCUAUUGUUCAUUAGGACGUGGGGGUUCAAGUCCCUCCAGGGGCACCA
rnacentral:tRNA from 1 species